rnacentral:precursor_RNA from 15 species
GCAAGAGAGCUACCGCUUAGCACCGGACACAGUGCGCAGGGAUAGAUAAGAGGUCACUUUAGAAUCCACUUUCCAUCCCUUGCACUGUUUCCGCUGCUGCCUUCACAAACACUGACCC